rnacentral:lncRNA from 1 species
CCUACCCUGCCCUGAGUCCCUGGCACAUGGCAGAGUUGGGCAGAACCUGCACCAGCCGUACCCACGUGGCCCAAGGCAAAAUGUGGGAAUGCAGUGUGGCAUUGGCCUUGUGCUGGGGAUUUGGGGAGGGGGUGCAGGGAGAAUGGGGCCAGGAGCCACAGGUUAUCUGGGCCUGGCCAGGCAGGUGCCCUGCUGUGUUCCCCCCUUCUCCCUGCACCCUUUCCCCACCCCAAGUCCCUGGCAUGCAGCCAGGUCUGGCCAGUGCCACAGUUUGCUCUGCACUGCUUUGGGCCAUGUGGGUACAGCUGGUGUGACUCCUGCCUGACCCAGCUGCGUGCCAGGAACUCAGGGUUGGGCAGGAGCCAUGUCAGCCACUCCAGCUGGGCCCAUGCAUCGCAGCCCAAAGCAGCAUGCAGGAACAUAGUGCAGCGCCACAUUAACAGUGCCCAUGCCCCUACUAGGUCCUGGCAGGGCAUGGAAAACCCACAGCUCAUGGCCCUCUUCCCCCUGCACCCUCUCCCCUGCCAGCAGGGAGAACCUUACCUGAGCUUCGACUCACUAGGGGCCGGGCUGUCUGGUUUGCAAAUGGCUGUAGGGUUGGAGCUGUGUGCAGAUAGCUUCACUAGACAGAAGCCUGGCCAGGAGCUUGGCAGCCCCUUGCUUUGGAGCAUACGCUGGGGGCUGAGGAGCGGGACAAGGCAGGCUGGGUCGGGGAGAGCCAUGGCUAUUGUUGCUACAGCCAGCUGGAAAGGUGAAGGGCAAGAGCUGCUAAAAGCCAGGGCAGUCACAGGCUGGAUAAAAUUCUCCUUUAAAGGAGCAGCCAAGGACUAGAUAGAAUCAUUUGGAGGACCAAAUGCAGUCCACGGGCCAUAUUUUUCCCACCCCCGUGAUAAGAGGCUAGCAUAAUAACAAAAUGAAAGAUUGAAGAAAUAGAAGAAAAUGCUUAUAGGAUACAAUCACCAAAACGUGUUCUGUUUGGUACAUUUUCGUGACGUGAAGACGCAGCUCUUUCCUGGACACUGGUCCUCUAGGGAUCGUUAGAUUAGAGUGAGGGAAAACAGGACUGAAAGAAGCAAUCUUUAGCAACCUGCCUGCUAAUCUUCACCAUCUUCUUUGGUCAGGGCCUCUUUCAGA